GCCCGGGUGGUGGAAUGGCAGACACUAGGGACUUAAAAUCCCUUGCUCGUAAGAGCGUGCGGGUUCGAGCCCCGCCCCGGGCA
rnacentral:tRNA from 1 species